rnacentral:rRNA from 1 species
GGACGGGUGAGUAAUGCAUAGGAAUCUGCCCGAUAGUGGGGGAUAACCUGGGGAAACCCAGGCUAAUACCGCAUACGUCCUACGGGAGAAAGGGGGCUCCGGCUCCCGCUAUUGGAUGAGCCUAUGUCGGAUUAGCUAGUUGGUGAGGUAAAGGCUCACCAAGGCGACGAUCCGUAGCUGGUCUGAGAGGAUGACCAGCCACACUGGGACUGAGACACGGCCCAGACUCCUACGGGAGGCAGCAGUGGGGAAUUUUGGACAAUGGGGGAAACCCUGAUCCAGCCAUCCCGCGUGUAUGAUGAAGGCCUUCGGGUUGUAAAGUACUUUUGGCAGAGAAGAAAAGGUAUCCCCUAAUACGGGAUACUGCUGACGGUAUCUGCAGAAUAAGCACCGGCUAACUACGUGCCAGCAGCCGCGGUAAUACGUAGGGUGCAAGCGUUAAUCGGAAUUACUGGGCGUAAAGCGUGUGUAGGCGGUUCGGAAAGAAAGAUGUGAAAUCCCAGGGCUCAACCUUGGAACUGCAUUUUUAACUGCCGAGCUAGAGUAUGUCAGAGGGGGGUAGAAUUCCACGUGUAGCAGUGAAAUGCGUAGAUAUGUGGAGGAAUACCGAUGGCGAAGGCAGCCCCCUGGGAUAAUACUGACGCUCAGACACGAAAGCGUGGGGAGCAAACGGGAUUAGAUACCCUGGUAGUCCACGCCCUAAACGAUGUCAACUAGCUGUUGGGGCCGUUAGGCCUUAGUAGCGCAGCUAACGCGUGAAGUUGACCGCCUGGGGAGUACGGUCGCAAGAUUAAAACUCAAAGGAGUUGACGGGGACCCGCACAAGCGGUGGAUGAUGUGGAUUAAUUCGAUGCAACGCGAAAAACCUUACCUACCCUUGACAU